ensembl:lncRNA
GUUGCGAACAUUAGGCUACACGCAUGGUCACCCUCCCAGUGGACUCUGAACUUUGUGUCCAGUGUCUAUAGAGAUAGCAUACCAAUGGAAAACCAGACCCCCAGAUAAAAUAGCCUCAGGACUUGCACUUGGACUCUCCGUUGUCUAAAAGAAUAUGCUAAUUAUCUCUGUAACAGAACAAAGUGGUAAAUUCCAUUAUGUUUAUCAGGAUAUGACCACAGGCCUAUUGAUAAAUAUCCACUGUUUAUCUAGUCAUGUAACACAUGAAUCAUGGGUUAACUUUGAUCGUAUCUCUCUUUUACCUUGUCCAGACUAGUUUCAAGGAAUUUGGGGAGGUGGGUUUGAGUAAGGACACUUAGGGUAUAUAAGGUUUUCACAAAAACUGGUCGGGGUCCUUGGCUAAGAGGAGACUCUGCCUUGAGCCCUCCAGCGUAAUAAACACUCCACUAUCUGCAUUGUCCUUCUGAGUGAGUUUGUUUCCCAGAACUCAUGGCUACAACAUUUGGUGCAUGGGCCGGGAAACUCCUCACUUUGAAGAAAUAAGUCCCAUUUGGGGCUACUCCGAGGCCUUGCAGCUUGAAUCUUCUAGAGUGGGGAAGGUGCCUUGCCUUUCUGGAAGGAUUCUGCUUCUCAACGCCCAGACCUUUCAUGUUAGCAGGUAAUGGAUGAUAGCAGGGGACCUGAGGGCUCAGGUGAGGAGGAACCCACCCAGCAGGGUGGAAGAGGGGCCCUGAUCACCCUCUGGGAGGGACUAGAAGGGGCACGGACCCACAGGAGCCUGGAAUAGGCAGGCAGCAAUUGCUUGGUACACAGGUUGAUGAGCGUGCUAGGGCUUAGGAAGGGAAUUUGCCAAGGUCAUUUAGGAGGUGUGUCCACGCCAUCUCAGGGAAAAUUAUAACCAGCGAUCACCAGGGGAUUUUUAGGAUAGGAAACUGGUCCUUGUAUGCUCAUAUUCUGCCCUCCCCCAGGAGGUGUUCCAUCUGCUGUUAAAUUCUUGACAGCCUCGGAAUUAUCAGGCUAGAAGGAGGGGGAUACAUAAAUGAGUAUGAAUUGGCUUUUCCGGAGACGGCCUGGGACAUGGGAUAUUUAACCCAUCUGUGUUUUCAUCCGCACCUGAUCAAGCCCACCAAGACAGAACAGACUUUAAGGGAGAAACAGUGUUGGACCACGUGGUGUUCUGGUUUGGCCUUGCUGACCGGCAGGUGAAGACACACGGAUCCCCCUUCGUCCUCUGGGAUCUGGCAGGAUUUGGACGAGGAUGACCUGCCCCUCCCCCAUACCGGAUGAUGACGCACCCUCCGGCCCAGUGCUCCACCAGGACCAGAGGCUGCCUUAAUGCCCAAUCCAGGGCCAGGUGAAGUUCCUGCAGCAGCCAUUCCUCCUCCACCAGCUCUCCUGGAGGUCUUAGAGCCGCCACCUCAGCAGGCUCCAAUCCUGGUGGCAGAAGCCUCUGGCCAGCACUUCCAGGAUCUGGCUCCAGCCGAACCGCCCAAGCUAUACCCACCUCUCCCGAUCUCAAGGACGUCUUCUUCUGCAUACACCUUGUCCCAGCAUCACAGCCCAUCUUUGCCUUUGAAUGGGAAGAUCCAGUCGGGGGCAUCAAACAACAGCUCACCUGGACUCCCCCACAAGGGUUUAAGAAUUCCCCAACCAUCUUUGGGGAAGCCUUGGCUUCUGACCUGGACUCAUUCCACCCGGAAAAGUACAGAUGUUGGCUCCUACAAUACAUGGAUGACCUGCUGCUGGUUGCCGAGACCAGGGAAAAAUGCUGGAAAGGGACAAAAGCACUGCUCCAGCUGCUGAUGGAAGCAGGUUACUGGGUGUCGAAGAAGAAGGCACAGAUCUGCAAAGAGUUAAAGUUACAGGUAUUGCCCCUUGGAUCCAUCAUACGAGGAUGAAGAGAGCAUACCACGCAGACCCAGAAAACGCUGAGUGGACUGCACAGAGGGACCCCGCUGACCCUCGAGAGACUAAGACCAUCCUUAAGAAGAAGGAAAAGAAGAUCCCGGAGCCCCUUGAGGAUGAAGCCACAUAAACAACUCCUGCUGCUUGGUCUCAUCAACAUGCACAUUCCUACGCCAACUUCCACAAUUCCUCCAACUGUUGGAACCACCAUCAACACACAGACCAGAGUGUGAACUUCUUGAGCAAAAGAGACACCCCUUUUGAUUGGAGAGUUGAGGAAGCUUCCUGGAAGAGGUGUCUUGUCAGCUGACCCUGAAUUGUUGGAUUGGGGCCCCGCUGGAUGUGGCAGUGUGGGGCGCCCUCGUGUGGGCAAGGGCGGCCCUGCAGCCGCGCCACCAGGAUCCCAGGCUGCCCUCCUCUCCUCAUCAGUGCUGCCGGCUUCCAGGAGCCCAGGUCGCACUGUUCCCCGGAUGUCAUGGCUGUAGACCCCUCACGUGUCCACCUCACGUGGCACCCCUCACGUGUCCACUACUCCAACUGGCCUGCCUCCAAGCUACGUUCCCUCCUUCUUAUACC